rnacentral:rRNA from 1 species
GACGAACGCUGGCGGCGUGCUUAACACAUGCAUGUCGAACGGAAAGGCCCUGCUUUUGUGGGGUGCUCGAGUGGCGAACGGGUGAGUAACACGUGAGUAACCUGCCCUUGACUUUGGGAUAACUUCAGGAAACUGGGGCUAAUACCGGAUAGGAGCUCCUGCUGCAUGGUGGGGGUUGGAAAGUUUCGGCGGUUGGGGAUGGACUCGCGGCUUAUCAGCUUGUUGGUGGGGUAGUGGCUUACCAAGGCUUUGACGGGUAGCCGGCCUGAGAGGGUGACCGGCCACAUUGGGACUGAGAUACGGCCCAGACUCCUACGGGAGGCAGCAGUGGGGAAUAUUGCACAAUGGGCGGAAGCCUGAUGCAGCAACGCCGCGUGCGGGAUGACGGCCUUCGGGUUGUAAACCGCUUUCGCCUGUGACGAAGCGUGAGUGACGGUAAUGGGUAAAGAAGCACCGGCUAACUACGUGCCAGCAGCCGCGGUGAUACGUAGGGUGCGAGCGUUGUCCGGAUUUAUUGGGCGUAAGGGCUCGUAGGUGGUUGAUCGCGUCGGAAGUGUAAUCUUGGGGCUUAACCCUGAGCGUGCUUUCGAUACGGGUUGACUUGAGGAAGGUAGGGGAGAAUGGAAUUCCUGGUGGAGCGGUGGAAUGCGCAGAUAUCAGGAGGAACACCAGUGGCGAAGGCGGUUCUCUGGGCCUUUCCUGACGCUGAGGAGCGAAAGCGUGGGGAGCGAACAGGCUUAGAUACCCUGGUAGUCCACGCUGUAAACGGUGGGUACUAGGUGUGGGGUCCAUUCCACGGGUUCCGUGCCGUAGCUAACGCUUUAAGUACCCCGCCUGGGGAGUACGGCCGCAAGGCUGAAACUCAAAGGAAUUGACGGGGCCCCGCACAAGCGGCGGAGCAUGCGGAUUAAUUCGAUGCAACGCGUAGAACCUUACCUGGGUUUGACAUGGAUCGGGAGUGCUCAGAGAUGGGUGUGCCUCUUUUGGGGUCGGUUCACAGGUGGUGCAUGCCUGUCGUCAGCUCGUGUCGUGAGAUGUUGGGUUAAGUCCCGCAACGAGCGCAACCCUUGUUCACUGUUGCCAGCACGUUAUGGUGGGGACUCAGUGGAGACCGCCGGGGUCAACUCGGAGGAAGGUGGGGAUGACGUCAAGUCAUCAUGCCCCUUAUGUCCAGGGCUUCACGCAUGCUACAAUGGCUGGUACAGAGAGUGGCGAGCCUGUGAGGGUGAGCGAAUCUCGGAAAGCCGGUCUCAGUUCGGAUUGGGGUCUGCAACUCGACCUCAUGAAGUCGGAGUCGCUAGUAAUCGCAGAUCAGCAACGCUGCGGUGAAUACGUUCCCGGG